rnacentral:lncRNA from 1 species
GACCAUUUGAAGGUUAAGGUUAAGGUUUAAGCUUAAGAAUACUGAGACCCAAGAUGUUAAAAAUAACUUACAAACCUAGUAAAUGGUGGAUCCAGGAUUACAACUGAAGUUGGCUUAACUCCAAAGCUCAUGCUGUGAAGCACCAUGCUGCACUGUCUUUCAGAAGAGCAAAGCUUGCAGGGACCUCUCCUUGAUGGGUCGAAAGGUCUUUUGUACAAAUAAUUUGGGGGGCCCGUGGGAAGAAGAUAUUUGAAUAACGUGCCACAAGUCCAAAUCCACCACCUCUACAGAGCUCUUUGCCUUUGGGCAUGUCUCUUUGCUUCUGAUUCCCAUCACUUUUUCUCUUUUCUUUUACUUUGAUUGACUGUUCCAAUAGCCCUAUCAGCAUUGUGGGACUUAACUGAGUAGCAGAGCCUGGAAACACCUCAUUGCAUCUGAAACCUAGAGAAGACGCUGGAUGUAAGACACAUACUUACAGCAACAGCCACUGACAAGAUUAUGAUACAGAAUAGAGAAGAGGAGCAAAUGCAAAGAUGAUUCCUUUGACAAGAUGAAAAACGGUACUCUAAUACACCUGCUUUGUAAGUCUCUAUUUUCACACAUAGCAGGCUUGUUUACAGCUGGCUAAAGAUCUGCUGCACAGCAGCACUGACCCCACUGCAUUCUUUCUACACCAAUAAAUUUCCUCUGCUGCCUCAUUCAGAUAGCCUAGCUGCUGUUUAGAGUGAAAUUCUUCCACCUUCAAGCAAGAAUCAGAGGUUCUUUCAGGCUUCACACAAUAAUAUGAUGAAGAGGCACGCUGAAGGUGAAUAAACACUAAUUUGUUUGCGUGUGAAUAAGGCAUCAUUUAUGUAGCAACUUCUACAGAUUGGGUACUGGAGAUUUUUCCAAAACGAAUAAUGCUCCUGCUUUUGAGCUUACAAUGUAGUAGGAAAGAUAAACAGAGUGUGAUAAGUGACAUCAUAAAGGCACAAACAAAUUCCUGUGAGCACAAAGUGGAAAGCCCCUGAGCUGGAAAAUAGCACUGAGGUGGUUUCAUGAAAGAGGAAGCAGCAAGGCUGGGCCUUGAAGAACGUGAAGGAGUCACCCAGCUAGAGAGGGCAGGAGGGUGUUCCACGAAGUACAAACAUCAUGAACAGAAAGUCAAAGAGUGAAAGUGAAGGGAGGAUUGGGGAGCAGUGAACAGACAAUGUGAGAGAGCUGCGGCACCAUGGAGAAGAGUAAUGAGAGGGACAUCCUGAAGGAAAGACAAUAUGAAGGACUGUCGAUGCCAAAGAAAGGACUUUCAGCCAUAUGCACGCAAUGGGGAGCAAUGCAAGAUUGUCAACCAAGAGACUGAGGUGCUGCUACCACAAACAUGAGGAAACUUCUGUUAGGAGUUCAACCUUCAGAGAGGACAGCUGGCAGUGCAAGAUGGUGACAGCCCUGCAAUCAGGAGAAGAAAGUCAUGAGAGUAAGGAAUGAUGGAGAGGGAUGAGAGCGUUUUCUAGGAUUUGAAGAGUUAAGAGACUCUGAAUAAUUGGCAGGGGAAGCUGGGAUGGAGAACAAAGUAGGAGAAGAAUCAUUUGCUGUGAACUCUGUAUUUGGAUUCCAUUUUUGAUGAUCUUUGAAAAUGGGAAUAAAGGAUUUGGGUUAUUUUUAAAUUCCUUUGGAGGCUAGACAGUUUCCCUAAAUUCAGCAUUCCCUUUGAAACUAGACCGCAUGAGUCUCUGGUUUGUGCAGGGUUACCCUGGGUCAGAGUUGCCUCUAGAAUAAGCAAUGGGUAAGUCCUUGAGCUGUUGGAAGCGCAUGGAGUGCCUGACAGUCUUCUGCACAUUAGGCAUAGGGGACCCUUUUGGGGGAAGAGGAUGAAGAAUAGGAGGGGUGAUGGGAGCAUGUUGGGUUGUGCCAGUUUAAAGAGAACGUGAAAAAGAUAAGCAAGCAAAUGAGGCUGCAAAAGAGGAAUCAUGGGAGAAUGAGGAAAAUUAAGUGAUCAUAGCAUCCCUGAGGUCAAAAGAGCAGGGGUUUCAGGGAGAGUGCCAGGGCAUUAGUUAAUACAAAGAAGAGACCACUGGCUUUGCACCCUGGAGGUCAAUGCUAUCCUCUUCCUAAUCCAUUACUAUAGAGUGAUGGGGACCAGCGUUUGUGUAUUGAGGAGAUAAUGAGAAGUGUAAAUGGAAAACAACCAGAAGAUAACAAGGAUAAACAACUCUUUCAAAAAUAUAGUCACAGGUCACUUAACAGGACUACAUUCUGAGAAAUGCACUAUUAGACAAUUUUAUUGUUGUGCGAACAUCAACAGAGUAGCUUACACAAACCUAGAUGGUGUAGCCUACUAGGCUAGAAGGUGUAGUCUAUUGAUCCUAGGCUACAAACCUAC